rnacentral:lncRNA from 1 species
GCUUGGGGAGCUCCAGCUUCCGGGGAUGGAGCUCCAUGCUAAAAUCACAGCUUUCAGAAAGGGGUGCUAACGAUUUUUCUCCUGCCAAAAUGUUCAGACAAUAAUGCAGCAAACAUGGGAUUCAGCUCUUUCCUGCCCCAGCUCGGUGCACCUACCUUGUGGGCGUCACUCAAAACAAGGCCCUGCACCUUGCCCGGCCCCUCAGAUCUGAGUGCUUGACCCCCACAGACCCAUGUUCAGAGCUGGCGAGCUCCACCCAGAGCACGGAAGCCUUGCUCCGAGACCUCGGCACCCGCCCAUGCAUCACUCAAUCUGCUUAAACCACCUGCUCUUCGUUUGUAGCAAAGUGACUUCUUUGAAGGGUCAGAAUGGGUGGCAUUUCACAAUGUGGAAGCCAUGAAGCACUGCCACAACAGAUAUUCUGGUGGAAAGGCCUCUCCCCACCACUCUGACCCUGGAAGGAGAUGGAGUAAUCGACCUGGGAAGAUCCUUGAGUGGCACCUGUGAUCUCACACUGACGGCUACUGAAUCCGGGGCUCACCCCUCCUUCCGACCAUCAGGUGACCCACAGGAGGGCUGCCUGAGAGACAAUGGCUGUCCUUGAAGCCUGCAGGCCAUAGAUGGUGCUAUAAGAAAAGCAGCCAGCAGAGCCCUGUUUGCUGUUUGUUUAUAGAGAUAUAACCUACGUGCAAGUGGCUAUUCUAGGAUUCAACAUGAGCAGCUCAUUUCCUUGGGAAGCCACUGGGUGACAGAGAACCAGGUGACAGUCUUCUGAGGCCACAGGUGCUGAUCCCACCAAUGCACCCCACCUCCCUCUCCCUCAACAGACACAUUCCAGCGAGAGUGCACCUGCCCAGGAUCAUGUAUGAGCAAUCAUGACUCGGCUGUUGUGUGGCACAGAGGAGGGUUUUAACCUCACGCCCACACGUGUUGGAUUUCUCCAAAUCUCUCCAUGCUGCCCGGCUGGGGUUCUCCUCCAUCCCACGCCAGGACACCUCACCUGGUCAGCAGCCCUGUUCCACCCACAGGCUCUGAAUCUCUUCUCCUUUUUGAGUGGAGCAGGUUAUGGAGUCCUAGCAUGCAUGUGCACAGCCAGGUGUUCAGAAAAAGCCCAACCCUGGAAGGAGAUGGAGUAACAGACCCGGGAGGACAAAGAGAAGUGCAAGCCCAGCAAAAGGAGGCAAACCCAGAGUCCCUCCGCAAAACCACCUCUCGGAGAAGGCUCCCUCUGUGAGGCUGGAGAAAAUCCCUUUGCAAAACCACCUAUGGUAGGAGGCUCCCUACAUGAGGCUGGAGUAUGCCCGUGGCUUCCUCAGCCCUGCACCACCACGUGGUUUGAGAAUGCCGGGCUGAGAAGCUCUGGCACCACAGGUUGUCCAGCCACAGCAGUUGCAAGCUGUCUCAUAGGUUGAUGCCCCAACCUGGACUUCAGCCUCUAGAAGAAGAUGUUUAUAGAUUUAUAAACUCAACUGUUAGUCCAUCUGGUGGCUAUAACAGAAUAUGUAGGCCAAGUAGCUGAUAAAUAAUGGAAAUUUAUUGCCCACAGCUCUGGAGGAUGAGAAGCCCAAGAUGAAAUCAUCCAGCAGACUUGCAGUCUGGUGAGGUCCCACUUUCUGGUUCAUAGUGGAAGGAGCCAGGGAUGCCUCUGGGGCCUCUGGUUUAAGGGCACUAAUCCCAUUCAGGAGGGCUGCACCCUGACGACCUAAUCACUUCCAGAUCCUCCACCUCCUCACCGUCACGACCUAAUCACUUCCAGAUCCUCCACCUCCUCACCAUCACGACCUAAUCACUUCCAGAUCCUCCACCUUGUCACCAAAACGACCUAAUCAAUUCCAGAUCCUCCACCUCCUCACCAUCACGACCUAAUCACUUCCAGAUCCUCCACCUCCUCACCAUCACGACCUAAUCACGUCCAGAGCCUCCACCUCCUCACCAUCAUGACCUAAUCAUUUCCAGAUCCUCCACCUCCUCACCAUCACGACCUAAUCACUUCCAGAUCCUCCACCUCCUCACCAUCACGACCUAAUCACUUCCAGAUCCUCCACCUCCUCACCAUCACGACCUAAUCACUUCCAGAUCCUCCACCUCCUCACCAUCACGACCUAAUCACUUCCCGGAUCCUCCACCUCCUCACCAUCACGACCUAAUCACUUCCCGGAUCCUCCACCUCCUCACCGUCACGACCUAAUCACUUCCCGGAUCCUCCACCUACUCACCAUCACGACCUAAUCACUUCCAGAUCCUCCACCUCCUCACCAUCACGACCUAAUCACUUCCAGAUCCUCCACCUCCUCACCAUCACGACCUAAUCACUUCCAGAUCCUCCACCUCCUCACCAUCACGACCUAAUCACUUCCCAGAUCCUCCACCUCCUCACCAUCACGACCUAAUCACUUCCCAGGUCCUCCACCUCCUCACCAUCACGACCUAAGCACUUCCCGGAUCCUCCACCUACUCACGAUCACGACCUAAUCACUUCCCAGAUCCUCCACCUCCUGACCAUCACGACCUAAUCACUUCCAGAUCCUCCACCUCGUCACCAUCACGACAUAAUCACUUCCAGAUCCUCCACCUCCUCACCAUCACGACAUAAUCACUUCCAGAUCCUCCACCUCCUCACCAUCACGACCUAAUCACUUCCAGAUCCUCCACCUCCUCACCAUCACGACCUAAUCACUUCCAGAUCCUCCACCUCCUCACCAUCACGACCUAAUCACUUCCAGAUCCUCCACCUCCUCACCAUCACGACCUAAUCACUUCCAGAUCCUCAACCUCCUCACCAUCACGACCUAAUCACUUCCAGAUCCUCCACCUCCUCACCAUCACCACCUAAUCACUUCCAGAUCCUCCACCUCCUCACCAUCACGACCUAAUCACUUCCCAGAGCCUCCACCUCCUCACCAUCACGACCUAAUCACUUCCAGAUCCUCCACCUCCUCACCGUCACGACCUAAUCACUUCCCAGAGCCUCCACCUCCUCACCAUCACGACCUAAUCACUUCCAGAUCCUCCACCUCCUCACCAUCACGACCUAAUCACUUCCAGAUCCUCUACUUCCUCACCAUCAUGAGCUAAUCACUUCCAGAUCCUCCAUCUCCUCACCAUCACUACCUAAUCACUUCCCAGAGCCUCCACCUCCUCACCAUCACGACCUAAUCACUUCCCAGAUCCUCCACCUCCUCACCAUCACGACCUAAUCACUUCCCAGAUCCUCCACCUCCUCGCCAUCACGACCUAAUCACUUCCAGAUCCUCCACCUCCUCACCAUCACGACCUAAUCACUUCCCAGAUCCUCCACCUCCUCACCAUCACGACCUAAUCACUUCCAGAUCCUCCACCUCCUCACCAUCACCACCUAAUCACUUCCAGAUCCUCCACCUCCUCACCAUCAGGACCUGAUCACUUCCAGAUCCUCCACCUCCUCACCAUCAUGACCUAAUCACUUCCCAGAGCCUCCACCUCCUCACCAUCAUGUUGGGGAUUCGGAUUUCAACACAUGGAUUUGGGGAGGGGUGAACACAUGCAGCCCAUUGCAUUAACACAUCCCAGAGUAAACUUGUUGUCUUUUCCACAAACCUCUUCUCUUUCUGGUGCUGAGUUUUCUUGGUGAGAGGAUGAGAGGAACUACCCCUGCAGAGCAUGUGCGUGCCCCAAGUCAGCUGGAGUUGGCCUUGACUGUGUCUCCUAUUCCACACGCCAUGUCCGCAGAACCACAUCCUUCUAUGUCUCUUCCCUGAUGAGGCUCAGCCCACUCCCGCUGAACCAUCCCUCCAAACGCCACCUUCUCAACUCUCACCUGGGUCCCCACAUCACCACUGCACCUGUUUCUCAGCCCCAGUGCCACCAAGGCUCAGCUCCUAGAAUCUUCUCAAU